GGGACCCCAAGUGCCACUCUUAACGGGGUGGCUUUUCUUGAGUGUAAAAAGCUUUUGGAAUAAGGGCUGAGCAAGACCGGUGCCAGCCGCCGCGGUAACACCGGCAGCUCAAGUGGUAGCCAUUUUUAUUGGGCCUAAAGCGUUCGUAGCCGGUUUGAUAAGUCUCUGGUGAAAUCCUAUGGCUUAACUGUGGGAAUUGCUGGAGAUACUAUUAGACUUGAGGUCGGGAGAGGUUAGCGGUACUCCCAGGGUAGGGGUGAAAUCCUGUAAUCCUGGGAGGACCACCUGUGGCGAAGGCGGCUAACUGGAACGAACCUGACGGUGAGGGACGAAAGCCAGGGGCGCGAACCGGAUUAGAUACCCGGGUAGU
rnacentral:rRNA from 1 species